rnacentral:rRNA from 1 species
GACGAACGCUGGCGGCGCGCUUAACACAUGCAAGUCGAACGGAAAGGCCUGCUUUCCCUUGUGGAUUGCGGGUACUCGAGUGGCGAACGGGUGAGUAACACGUGAGUGAUCUGCCCCCAACUUGGGUAUAAGCCUGGGAAACUGGGUCUAAUUCCCGAUAGGACUGCAGGGUGGUGCCUGUGGUGGAAAACGAUUUUCUAGUGGUUGGGGAUGAGCUCGCGGCCUAUCAGCUUGUUGGUGGGGUAAUGGCCUACCAAGGCGGCGACGGGUAGCCGGCCUGAGAGGGUGGACGGCCACAUUGGGACUGAGAUACGGCCCAGACUCCUACGGGAGGCAGUAGUGGGGAAUAUUGCACGAUGGGCGGAAGCCUGAUGCAGCGACGCCGCGUGGGGGAUGACGGCCUUCGGGUUGUAAACUCCUUUCGACCGCGAGGAAGCCACCUGGUUGGAAGGGUGGUGACGGUAGUGGUAGAAGAAGCACCGGCUAACUACGUG